GAUCUCUCUAUGUUCUAUCUAUCUAUUUCGUUUAUAUGCUUCUUCUGUUUUGUUAUUCUGCAUCGUUUGUGAACGCCCUUAAGACUCUAUCUACUAUUUUCUAUAAAAUAAUUUGAUAUUUUGGUAUUACCUUUUAGUAUUAGAAAGGUGAUAUAUUCAAAUAUUGUUCUUCUCACAUUGCUCUGAAAAUGUCUCCAACAACGUCAGAUGAUGUCUGGAUGAAUUUUUCCGAUGGACGUAAUGUGGCCUUUCUUGUAGUGUAGGGGAUUGACAAAAUAUAAACCAUGUAGAGAAUAGGAUAUGCUCGACGCUUUCGAUCCUAAGUCCUAACAAAUAGAUUCUUGAUGUCUUUGCCACUCUGCUAGUGUACAUCUAUGAAGAAGUUGAUUCCUGGAGGAGGAACCAUGUGUUCCUCAAGGCAUGGAUGCUUAUAUGGAAGAGCUUAAGUAAUUCCAAUCAAAGAUGAUCAGUUAGGACCGCGUUGGAACAGGAUGUGGGGGUAAGCUGUUUCAUUUACGAGCAGGCAGCUCUCAAGGUUUUGAAGCUUUUUGGAUCCUAUCAAUCUAAUAAAAAGAUUCGGCAAAUACAGGAACAUUGUAGACUUGUAGUUGAUGUUUACGGCAAGAAAGUGAAAAAGGAGGGUGAAAAUUUGGGGGCUCAGCUUAGAAUAUUACAUCAGUUGUUCAAAAUGUACAAUACGAUUCUUUUGUUCCGAAAAAUACAUGAAUUCAUAAUGUAUUUGCAUUGCAUCCAGUAAAUAAUAUAUAUAAAAACUUCAAACGUUAUAAUUAGAUAAAAACUAAAAUAGAGGAAGUCUUGGGUUGCAUUAUUAUUUUGUCCUUGCCUUGUUGGAGAAAUUCCCAUAUGAUUAGUGUAUGCUUCGGUCCAAGAUUCUUUUUUUGUUCAGGGUCCACGUUAGCGUGAUAAACUAUUCUGAACAUUAAGAUUCAGACAUGUAAGUAUCAUUUAGAGAUCUGUUUAUAAUAAAACUCGUAUUUAUUCGAAA